rnacentral:misc_RNA from 1 species
ACGAAGCCAUUAAUUUGGCAAAAUUCUAUUCUGUGAAUAUAUCUUUUUGCUUUGGGACGGAUCACUACGCAAGUGGUGGUUGGUCCCAAACAUUUUAAACUCUUCAAUUGAUUUAUUGUCUGAACUGAAUUAAAAUAAUUAUUCA